rnacentral:rRNA from 1 species
CGCGGCCUAUCAGCUUGUUGGUGGGGUAACGGCCCACCAAGGCAUCGACGGGUAGCUGGUCUGAGAGGACGAUCAGCCACACUGGGACUGAGACACGGCCCAGACUCCUACGGGAGGCAGCAGUGGGGAAUCUUGCGCAAUGGGCGAAAGCCUGACGCAGCAACGCCGCGUGGAGGACGAAGGCUUUCUGAGUUGUAAACUCCUUUCAGCAGGGACGAUAGUGACGGUACCUGCAGAAGAAGCACCGGCCAACUACGUGCCAGCAGCCGCGGUGAUACGUAGGGUGCAAGCGUUGUCCGGAUUUAUUGGGCGUAAAGAGCUCGUAGGCGGUUUGAUAAGUCGGGUGUGAAACCUCCAGGCUCAACCUGGAGCCGCCACUCGAUACUGUCAUGACUAGAAUUCGGUAGGGGACCACGGAAUUCCUGGUGUAGCGGUGAAAUGCGCAGAUAUCAGGAGGAACACCAGCAGCGAAGGCGGUGGUCUGGGCCGACAUUGACGCUGAGGAGCGAAAGCGUGGGGAGCGAACAGGAUUAGAUACCCUGGUAGUCCACGCCGUAAACGUUGGGCACUAGGUGUGGGGACUAUUCAACGGUCUCCGUGCCGCAGCUAACGCAUUAAGUGCCCCGCCUGGGGAGUACGG